GUCGUACGCUUCUUUUUCCACCGGAGCUUGCUCCACCGGAAAAAGAAGAGUGGCGAACGGGUGAGUAACACGUGGGUAACCUGCCCAUCAGAAGGGGAUAACACUUGGAAACAGGUGCUAAUACCGUAUAACAAUCGAAACCGCAUGGUUUUGAUUUGAAAGGCGCUUUCGGGUGUCGCUGAUGGAUGGACCCGCGGUGCAUUAGCUAGUUGGUGAGGUAACGGCUCACCAAGGCCACGAUGCAUAGCCGACCUGAGAGGGUGAUCGGCCACAUUGGGACUGAGACACGGCCCAAACUCCUACGGGAGGCAGCAGUAGGGAAUCUUCGGCAAUGGACGAAAGUCUGACCGAGCAACGCCGCGUGAGUGAAGAAGGUUUUCGGAUCGUAAAACUCUGUUGUUAGAGAAGAACAAGGAUGAGAGUAACUGUUCAUCCCUUGACGGUAUCUAACCAGAAAGCCACGGCUAACUACGUGCCAGCAGCCGCGGUAAUACGUAGGUGGCAAGCGUUGUCCGGAUUUAUUGGGCGUAAAGCGAGCGCAGGCGGUUUCUUAAGUCUGAUGUGAAAGCCCCCGGCUCAACCGGGGAGGGUCAUUGGAAACUGGGAGACUUGAGUGCAGAAGAGGAGAGUGGAAUUCCAUGUGUAGCGGUGAAAUGCGUAGAUAUAUGGAGGAACACCAGUGGCGAAGGCGGCUCUCUGGUCUGUAACUGACGCUGAGGCUCGAAAGCGUGGGGAGCAAACAGGAUUAGAUACCCUGGUAGUCCACGCCGUAAACGAUGAGUGCUAAGUGUUGGAGGGUUUCCGCCCUUCAGUGCUGCAGCUAACGCAUUAAGCACUCCGCCUGGGGAGUACGACCGCAAGGUUGAAACUCAAAGGAAUUGACGGGGGCCCGCACAAGCGGUGGAGCAUGUGGUUUAAUUCGAA
rnacentral:rRNA from 1 species